rnacentral:rRNA from 1 species
GACAGAGGGUGCAAACGUUGUUCGGAAUUACUGGGCGUAAAGCGCGUGUAGGCUGCUUCGCAAGUCGGAUGUGAAAGCCCUGGGCUCAACCCAGGAAGUGCAUUCGAAACUGCAGAGCUGGAGUCCUGGAGAGGAAGGCGGAAUUCUCGGUGUAGAGGUGAAAUUCGUAGAUAUCUGGAGGAACACCGGUGGCGAAGGCGGCGUUCUGGACUGCAACUGACACUGAGGAACGAAAGCCAGGGGAGCAAACGGG